ACGAAGUUCGGCAGGUAGAAAAACUGACACAAGUUGCUGAACCUGAACCGGAUUUGAUUAGAUCAGAUCCGGAGCCCAUUGUUCAAGCACCCUUAAGGCGAUCCGGUAGAGUAUCACAUCAACCGGACAGAUACUAUGAUUUCUUGGUCCAGGACGAUGAUCCUAUCAAACUUGAUGAAAACGAUGAGGAUCCGAUCACCUACAUGGAUGCAAUGCAGAGA
rnacentral:lncRNA from 1 species